rnacentral:rRNA from 1 species
GAACGCUGGCGGCAGGCCUAACACAUGCAAGUCGAGCGGUAGAGAGGUGCUUGCAUCUCUUGAGAGCGGCGGACGGGUGAGUAAUGCCUAGGAAUCUGCCUAGUGGUGGGGGAUAACGUUCGGAAACGGACGCUAAUACCGCAUACGUCCUACGGGAGAAANCGGGGGGAUCUUCGGACCUCGCGCCAUUAGAUGAGCCUAGGUCGGAUUAGCUAGUUGGUGAGGUAAUGGCUCACCAAGGCGACGAUCCGUAACUGGUCUGAGAGGAUGAUCAGUCACACUGGAACUGAGACACGGUCCAGACUCCUACGGGAGGCAGCAGUGGGGAAUAUUGGACAAUGGGCGAAAGCCUGAUCCAGCCAUGCCGCGUGUGUGAAGAAGGUCUUCGGAUUGUAAAGCACUUUAAGUUGGGAGGAAGGGUAGUAACCUAAUACGUUGCUACUUUGACGUUACCGACAGAAUAAGCACCGGCUAACUUCGUG